CAGUGUGAGGGGCGGGGUUAGAAGGCUGCGGCCAGGGCUGAGGAAACAGGAGUUUUCUGAGGUCUACCAUCAGACUCGUCCAACUUAGCAGGAACUGCAGGACCCUUUUCUGGAUCUGUGACAGGAACUUGACAGUGUCUUAUGUGUGCCCUGCCUCCUUAUUUAAUGCAGUCUCGCUGUGAACUCCUGGUCUUCCUGUCUCAAGCUUGUCAGUGCUAGGACCACAGGUCUAGGUCCUGAACAGAAUCAUCAGCGUAGUUGUGCCUUCUUCCAUGCCCCAAAUAAAGUGAAACUCGGAGGUUAAUUGUGCUUUAAUAGAUUAGUAAUAAACCAAAUUCUAAGUUUUUAAAGAAUAUGAUUUGCGAUAAAUAGUAAAACAAAAGAGUGCCAACUCUACAGAGAGAACUAUAAAACACCUUAGAAAUAAAUUGAAGGCC
rnacentral:lncRNA from 1 species